rnacentral:rRNA from 1 species
AGGGAAACCGAGUCUUAACUGGGCGUUAAGUUGCAGGGUAUAGACCCGAAACCCGGUGAUCUAGCCAUGGGCAGGUUGAAGGUUGGGUAACACUAACUGGAGGACCGAACCGACUAAUGUUGAAAAAUUAGCGGAUGACCUGUGGCUGGGGGUGAAAGGCCAAUCAAACCGGGAGAUAGCUGGUUCUCCCCGAAAGCUAUUUAGGUAGCGCCUCGUGAAUUCAUCUUCGGGGGUAGAGCACUGUUUCGGCUAGGGGGUCAUCCCGACUUACCAACCCGAUGCAAACUGCGAAUACCGGAGAAUGUUAUCACGGGAGACACACGGCGGGUGCUAACGUCCGUCGUGAAGAGGGAAACAACCCAGACCGCCAGCUAAGGUCCCAAAGUCAUGGUUAAGUGGGAAACGAUGUGGGAAGGCCCAGACAGCCAGGAUGUUGGCUUAGAAGCAGCCAUCAUUUAAAGAAAGCGUAAUAGCUCACUGGUCGAGUCGGCCUGCGCGGAAGAUGUAACGGGGCUAAACCAUGCACCGAAGCUGCGGCAGCGAACGUAUCACUUAAAGCGAUUCAGCGGGUUACGAUUGACGGAGCGAAGCGACGUCAAAGCGUAUAGAAAGUCGAGUCGGUUUAAGGAUACGUUCGUUGGGUAGGGGAGCGUUCUGUAAGCCUGUGAAGGUGUGUCGUGAGGCAUGCUGGAGGUAUCAGAAGUGCGAAUGCUGACAUAAGUAACGAUAAUGCGGGUGAAAAACCCGCUCGCCGGAAGACCAAGGGUUCCUGUCCAACGUUAAUCGGGGCAGGGUGAGUCGACCCCUAAGGCGAGGCCGAAAGGCGUAGUCGAUGGGAAACAGGUUAAUAUUCCUGUACUCGGUGUUACUGCGAAGGGGGGACGGAGAAGGCUAUGUUGGCCGGGCGACGGUUGUCCCGGUUUAAGCGUGUAGGUGUGUGGACCAGGCAAAUCCGGUUCACUUUAACACUGAGGCGUGAUGACGAGGCACUACGGUGCUGAAGCAACAAAUGCCCUGCUUCCAGGAAAAGCCUCUAAGCAUCAGGUAACAUCAAAUCGUACCCCAAACCGACACAGGUGGUCAGGUAGAGAAUACCAAGGCGCUUGAGAGAACUCGGGUGAAGGAACUAGGCAAAAUGGUGCCGUAACUUCGGGAGAAGGCACGCUGAUGGUAGGUGAAGUGAUUUACUCAUGGAGCUGAAAUCAGUCGAAGAUACCAGCUGGCUGCAACUGUUUAUUAAAAACACAGCACUGUGCAAACACGAAAGUGGACGUAUACGGUGUGACGCCUGCCCGGUGCCGGAAGGU